UUAGUCCCACAUCGGGUAAUCAGCGGAAAGGUCUGUGCCUUAAAUGGGGGGUGCAAACACCUCUUCUCACCGAAGGCCCACGGGCUGGAGGUAAAGAGGGCCCUUUUGUAGGACAAAACCGUGAGGGUAGGGGGCAACCUCCGCGGACCCCCGCGCCGUCAGGGCUCGGGACUGUCAUUGGGCCACGACCCUGGGCGACCUCCCGCAGACCCGAAGCGGCAAUCCCAAAGCGGACAAUACCUCGGGGAGGACGCGGAUGCUUUCCCUGCUCGCCCGGUGUGCGGGCUGGUGUCGGGGUUCCGACCCCACAUCA
rnacentral:lncRNA from 1 species